AGCAGCAUUGUACAGGGCUAUCAAAGCACAGAGAGCUUGCUACAGCUGAGGC
rnacentral:precursor_RNA from 1 species